GAUGAACGCUGGCGGCGUGCCUAAUACAUGCAAGUCGAGCGAACGGACGAGAAGCUUGCUUCUCUGAUGUUAGCGGCGGACGGGUGAGUAACACGUGGAUAACCUACCUAUAAGACUGGGAUAACUUCGGGAAACCGGAGCUAAUACCGGAUAAUAUUUUGAACCGCAUGGUUCAAAAGUGAAAGACGGUCUUGCUGUCACUUAUAGAUGGAUCCGCGCUGCAUUAGCUAGUUGGUAAGGUAACGGCUUACCAAGGCAACGAUGCAUAGCCGACCUGAGAGGGUGAUCGGCCACACUGGAACUGAGACACGGUCCAGACUCCUACGGGAGGCAGCAGUAGGGAAUCUUCCGCAAUGGGCGAAAGCCUGACGGAGCAACGCCGCGUGAGUGAUGAAGGUCUUCGGAUCGUAAAACUCUGUUAUUAGGGAAGAACAUAUGUGUAAGUAACUGUGCACAUCUUGACGGUACCUAAUCAGAAAGCCACGGCUAACUACGUGCCAGCAGCCGCGGUAAUACGUAGGUGGCAAGCGUUAUCCGGAAUUAUUGGGCGUAAAGCGCGCGUAGGCGGUUUUUUAAGUCUGAUGUGAAAGCCCACGGCUCAACCGUGGAGGGUCAUUGGAAACUGGAAAACUUGAGUGCAGAAGAGGAAAGUGGAAUUCCAUGUGUAGCGGUGAAAUGCGCAGAGAUAUGGAGGAACACCAGUGGCGAAGGCGACUUUCUGGUCUGUAACUGACGCUGAUGUGCGAAAGCGUGGGGAUCAAACAGGAUUAGAUACCCUGGUAGUCCACGCCGUAAACGAUGAGUGCUAAGUGUUAGGGGGUUUCCGCCCCUUAGUGCUGCAGCUAACGCAUUAAGCACUCCGCCUGGGGAGUACGACCGCAAGGUUGAAACUCAAAGGAAUUGACGGGGACCCGCACAAGCGGUGGAGCAUGUGGUUUAAUUCGAAGCAACGCGAAGAACCUUACCAAAUCUUGACAUCCUUUGACAACUCUAGAGAUAGAGCCUUCCCCUUCGGGGGACAAAGUGACAGGUGGUGCAUGGUUGUCGUCAGCUCGUGUCGUGAGAUGUUGGGUUAAGUCCCGCAACGAGCGCAACCCUUAAGCUUAGUUGCCAUCAUUAAGUUGGGCACUCUAAGUUGACUGCCGGUGACAAACCAGAGGAAGGUGGGGAUGACGUCAAAUCAUCAUGCCCCUUAUGAUUUGGGCUACACACGUGCUACAAUGGACAAUACAAAGGGCAGCGAAACCGCGAGGUCAAGCAAAUCCCAUAAAGUUGUUCUCAGUUCGGAUUGUAGUCUGCAACUCGACUACAUGAAGCUGGAAUCGCUAGUAAUCGUAGAUCAGCAUGCUACGGUGAAUACGUUCCCGGGUCU
rnacentral:rRNA from 1 species